rnacentral:rRNA from 1 species
UUGAACGCUGGCGGCAGGCCUCACACAUGCAAGUCGAGCGGAUGACGGGAGCUUGCUCCUUGAUUCAGCGGCGGACGGGUGAGUAAUGCCUAGGAAUCUGCCUGGUAGUGGGGGACAACGUUUCGAAAGGAACGCUAAUACCGCAUACGUCCUACGGGAGAAAGCAGGGGACCUUCGGGCCUUGCGCUAUCAGAUGAGCCUAGGUCGGAUUAGCUUGUUGGUGAGGUAAUGGCUCACCAAGGCGACGAUCCGUAACUGGUCUGAGAGGAUGAUCAGUCACACUGGAACUGAGACACGGUCCAGACUCCUACGGGAGGCAGCAGUGGGGAAUAUUGGACAAUGGGCGAAAGCCUGAUCCAGCCAUGCCGCGUGUGUGAAGAAGGUCUUCGGAUUGUAAAGCACUUUAAGUUGGGAGGAAGGGUUGUAGAUUAAUACUCUGCAAUUUUGACGUUACCGACAGAAUAAGCACCGGCUAACUCUGUG